UCCCAAUGCCUUUCCNGUACCACAGUAGA
rnacentral:piRNA from 1 species